AGUGAACGCUGGCGGUAGGCCUAACACAUGCAAGUCGAACGGCAGCACAGUAAGAGCUUGCUCUUACGGGUGGCGAGUGGCGGACGGGUGAGGAAUACAUCGGAAUCUACUUUUUCGUGGGGGAUAACGUAGGGAAACUUACGCUAAUACCGCAUACGACCUACGGGUGAAAGCAGGGGAUCUUCGGACCUUGCGCGAUUGAAUGAGCCGAUGUCGGAUUAGCUAGUUGGCGGGGUAAAGGCCCACCAAGGCGACGAUCCGUAGCUGGUCUGAGAGGAUGAUCAGCCACACGGGAUCUGAGACACGGUCCAGACUCCUACGGGAGGCAGCAGUGGGGAAUAUUAGACAAUGGGCGCGAGCCUGAUCCAGCCAUACCGCGUGGGUGAAGAAGGCCUUCGGGUUGUAAAGCCCUUUUGUUGGGAAAGAAAAGCAGCAGGUUAAUACCCCGCUGUUCUGACGGUACCCAAAGAAUAAGCACCGGCUAACUUCGUG
rnacentral:rRNA from 1 species